UUUAGAAUUUUAGUUGACUAU
ensembl:piRNA 21ur-14096 ncRNA